rnacentral:lncRNA from 1 species
GCCCCCCGCUGGCGGCCCUACCGUCCCUCCAUCACCGCCUCCAUCGACCUCCGGCGCACUUCGUCGACCCCGCCGAGCUCACCGGCUACGCCGGUUCCGCCGAGCCAGACGCUGCCUCCUUCAUCUCCUCCAUUCACUGAGUGCGUCGACUCCAGCGUCGCGCUCGUCGAUCCCGCCGCCGCCGACUUCUCCGAAUCUGGUUAUUCCGCCGCCGCCCCCAUCCCUGCCUCCUUCGCCGGCACCUGUAAGCCCUGGUCAGUGAACGCCUCUAUGCCGGCCUGCAAUUUUGAGUUUUAAAUUAGACAUGGAUUCUUAUGUGAUGCUUCUUACCAUCUGACAAACAGCAAAGAAUUCUAAAUAAUUAACUGCAGAGAAAACAUGAUGUCAACAACUCAGAAAUGUAUUUGUCAUCUUUUCGAACAAGCUUUCAUGUUCUUGAAUGCCCUAUAUUUGACAUUUCUAAAUUUGCACAUAUAUUAGUUUUAACCAGAAAAUGUCUCUAUCCAUGUCUUGACGGAACAAUGAUGGAAUAGACUAACUCAGAGUUAUUUCAUCAGUUGGAGCAAAUUCACAUGUGGAUAUGAACAUUUUUCAGUAUAAGGACAUCAAUAAGCUAAAGGAACAAUGAUGGAUGAAUUUUAACUGCUGUUAAUCAACUACUAAAGUGGAACUGAAGUGCAGAACCUGAAAUUUCUUUUGGCUAAACUUGGUGAUGAACUGAUGACUGAUCAUACAAUUUUAUUAGAUCAUGACGUGAUGUGAAUCAUGUGAUAUUUCCAUCUGUUGCUAAAGCCAUUUUCAUUUAGCUCACUGCAACUUGCUUAAAUUUGUUUUCCAUAUAUUUCCCCACCUCCGUCACAGCACUGCUAUAUUUAUGGACAGUCAAAUAUAACAUUGGUUAAAGCCCCUUUUCUACUCAUAAUUGUUGCUUUUAAACUUGCCGGACUGAUAAAUGCCCUUUGAAAACUAAUCCUUGUCUUCUUCUUGCCUGAAGGGAAUUAAAUGAGCAAGGCUUACUC